GUAAAUUAAAACCAAAACCUGUUGCAAGUAUGACAAACACAUCCUUUUCAAUUAAGGGCCUGAGAGCAUUUUGUUCUGCUUUUAAAGAAAAUUUCAUCUACUUCAUUCAAUACAUUCGCAUUUCACAAUAGACGUUUUGAAAUCAUCAUCACAUAGCCUGCCCCAAAACAAAAUAAAUAACUGUGACUGGACCAGCAGGUAUUUGUCAGCAUAACGUGUAGAAAACCAGACUGAUCUGCAGAGCGAAAUUGAAUGAGUUUGCAAGAUCAGGAUGGUCUUACCAGGCUAGCCUCAGGUACCUCGUUUGUCAGCAUUUUAGACCUCAAGAAGCCUGUACUAUAAUGUGAAUUACAAGAUUAAAUGUGAUCUUUAUAAAAUACCUUUGAAUGAAUUCCAGCGUCGACGAUCCAGAGGCAGGAUACUCAAGGUUGAAGACGUAAUAGCUGCUGAAGAAAGCAGCUACUCCGUGUAAAAAGAAAGGGUGUGGGCCCAUCACGACAUGUCCCUCGAUGGAUAUAAGCCAUCCAGAGGGCUUCAUCAUGUCACCUGAUAUGAACAGAUACAACAUUAUGUGUUAUGAGCACUUUGCGAUCUGCUUAAGACACAAAGGGCUAUACAAAUGUAAUUCUUAUUAUAAUCAUAAUUAUUAUUAUUUAUUGUGGUCAUGUAGAUUUCUAGAAUGAAAAGAAAAUAAUGAGUUGUCGAUAAAUGUCGAUACUAGAUCAAAGUAACUGUCGCGCUGAUCUGGCAGAGGUGCGCCUGUCUCCCGUGUGCCCGCCUCCUCCUGCAUGCCGUCUCACCUGCGUGCCGCCCCGCUCUGCAUCGGCAGCUGCGUGUGACCGUGCGUGCGCGCCCUGGCGCACCCUCGACCAGGUGAAUUAGAUUGAGCAAUCAGAAGUUCGCACACACUUCAAUCAGCGGGAGCAUAUAACGCAGUCAUUUGGCUGGUGGAAAGGGACUGACACGACGGAAUGAGCAGCACACAUCCACUGCGGGGAAUGAGACUUUUGAUUUGACGGGCUAUCGGUUUUUCACCUAUACUGUUCAACUCCUGUUCAAUUAUUCAAAUAAAUUAUUCUGAGUGAAAUCCGAAGUCUGGUCCUUGUCAAGUGUGGACACCUCGCAGUUAAAAGAAACACUUGACAAUG